rnacentral:rRNA from 1 species
AUUGAACGCUGGCGGCAGGCUUAACACAUGCAAGUCGAGCGGAGAUGAGGUGCUUGCACCUUAUCUUAGCGGCGGACGGGUGAGUAAUGCUUAGGAAUCUGCCUAUUAGUGGGGGACAACAUUCCGAAAGGAAUGCUAAUACUGCAUACGUCCUACGGGAGAAAGCAGGGGAUCUUCGGACAUUGCGCUAAUAGAUGUGCCUCAGUCGGAUUAGCUAGUUGGUGGGGUAAAGGCCUACCAAGGCGACGAUCGGUAGCGGGUCUGAGAGGAUGAUCCGCCACACUGGGACUGAGACACGGCCCAGACUCCUACGGGAGGCAGCAGUGGGGAAUAUUGGACAAUGGGGGGAACCCUGAUCCAGCCAUGCCGCGUGUGUGAAGAAGGCCUUAUGGUUGUAAAGCACUUUAAGCGAGGAGGAGGCUACUGAGACUAAUACCCUUGGAUAGUGGACGUUACUCGCAGAAUAAGCACCGGCUAACUCUGUGCCAGCCGCCGCAGUAAAAC